GUUGAGAUCAUUUUGCUCUCCCUCUUUCUCCCGCCCAUCACACACACACAAAUUCCUCUCCCUCUUUCUCUCCACGUAUAGAAACGAUUUCCACUUCUCUUCGUUUCUCUCUCUCACUCACUCUCUCUCUCUCGCGCGCGCACACACACACAUCAUACCUUCUCUUCCCUGUUGUCUGACGAAUUCGGGCUCACCGUUGUUGUGCUUCAGACGAAUCUGAUUUUGUAAGGUCUGUGUGUUUUAACCUCUUCAACAAUCUUGGAGUUCAUAUUAAUUCAAAUGAUGGACAACAUCCAUAUUUUUGGUUAUGCGUGUUCAGUUUAUAUUUUAUAAAUCGGGACUUAAUUUCUUACGUAUUAUUUAUAAUUUUUCUCAUAAUCAAAUGCUUUUGGAUUAUUUUUUAUAGGUGGAUGAUAUGUUGGAGGAAACAGUAAUAUUAGAUCUCUAUACUCAUUUUUUUAUUUAAUCUAAAUUUCAUAAUAUAAUUUUUCUUUUACAUUUCAAAUGCGUUUUCUAUACAUAUACAGGUUCAAUUUCUUCAAAACAGAAAUGUCAGUGUUGUGAUCCACAAUGAAUGGGACUUCAAUGUCCUCUGUGUUCGUGGAGAGGUCGCCAGCCUUUGUAGUUGGAUUAAAGGCCGCAAGCCUCUCCUCUGUCAUCACAAGCCUUUCGCUGGAGGUCGCAAGUCUCGCUACAGAACUGACAAAAAUGAGAAAGGGAACUGAGAUAGAUAUGAGAAUGAGACUUCAUAAUUCUUUUUUUAUCUCUAGUAAGAGAAGUUAUUCAAUUCCAAAUCUGAGAGGAAGAUUGUAUCGGAGGUCGCAAGUAUCGUCAGAGAACUGACAGAUAUGAGAAAGGAAACUAAGGCCCCGUUUGUUUCUAGAGAUGAAAUGGAGGGGAUUGAUAGUGAGGGGAUUAAUAGUGAGGGGAUUGUUAGUGAGGGUCGUUUGUUUUCAGAGAUAGAAUGAAGGGGAUUGAU